AUGUCAACAAUUUUUUGGAGAGAGAAGAGGUACUCCCUUAUAGGGACUCGUAAAGACAUAGAGCAUCUAGAGAUUUACUGCCUCCAUUACGCUGCUGGCUCUCGCAGCACUUGUUAUGUUUUUAUCAGUUUCUCUCCAGAAGGCAGUUAUAUACGCCAAGAUACAAAUAAAAGAUCUGUUAAAGCAGGUAAGAAAUCUGUUGUUACUUUUUCACCUGUCCAAGAUUGUGACUUCUUUAAUUUUUUUUAUUUAAUCUUGCAAUAAUUUUAGAUUGUAGAAGAGUUGCAAAAAUAGUACAGAGCAUUCCAUAUAGCCUUUACCUAUCCUCCCGUAAUGUUAACACCCUGCAUAGUUAUCAUCCAAUUAUCAAGACUAAGAAAUUAAUACUAUUAAAAUAUUAAUAACCAAACCACAGAUUUAUCCUGAUUUCACUUUUUCCAUUUAUGUACUUUUUCUCCCCAAGAUGCAGUCCAGGAUCCCACAUUACAUUUUAGUUGUCAUGUCUCUUUAGUCUCCUCCUAUCUAUAAGAGUUCCUUAGUCUCUCCUUGAGGAUUUUCAACACCUUGACUAUAUUUAUUUUUG
rnacentral:lncRNA from 1 species